GCCUGGGUGGUGGAAUUGGCAGACACAGGGGACUUAAAAUCCCCUGCUCGCAAGAGCGUGCGGGUUCGAGUCCCGCCCCGGGCA
rnacentral:tRNA from 1 species